rnacentral:rRNA from 1 species
UUCAGAUUGCAGGCUGCAACUCGCCUGCAUGAAGUCGGAAUUGCUAGUAAUCGUGGAUCAGCAUGCCACGGUGAAUACGUUCCCGGGCCUUGUACACACCGCCCGUCACACCAUGGGAGUCGGUAACACCCGAAGCCUGUAGUCUAACCGCAAGGAGGACGCAGUCGAAGGUGGGAUUGAUGACUGGGGUGAAGUCGUAACAAGGUAAC